UACGGAGGGUGCGAGCGUUAAUCGGAAUUACUGGGCGUAAAGCGUGCGUAGGUGGUUCGCUAAGUCAGAUGUGAAAGCCCUGGGCUUAACCUGGGAAUUGCGUUUGAUACUGGCGAACUAGAGUUUGGUAGAGGGAAGUGGAAUUCCAGGUGUAGCGGUGAAAUGCGUAGAGAUCUGGAGGAACAUCAGUGGCGAAGGCGGCUUCCUGGACCAAAACUGACACUGAGGUACGAAAGCGUGGGUAGCAAACAGG
rnacentral:rRNA from 1 species